CCUACGGGAGGCAGCAGUGGGGAAUUUUGGACAAUGGGCGCAAGCCUGAUCCAGCUAUUCCGCGUGUGGGAUGACGGCCUUCGGGUUGUAAACCACUUUUGUAGAGAACGAAAAGUCUGUUGAUAAUACCGAUAGAUGAUGACGGUACUCUAAGAAUAAGCACCGGCUAACUACGUGCCAGCAGCCGCGGUAAUACGUAGGGUGCGAGCGUUAAUCGGAAUUACUGGGGGUAAAGGGUGGGCAGGCGGUUUUGCAAGAUGGAUGUGAAAGCCCCGGGCUUAACCUGGGCAAGCCAUACAUGACUGCAAGACUAGAGUGCGUCAGAGGGGGGUUGAAUUCCAAGUGUAGCAGUGAAAUGCGUAGAUAUUUUGAAGAACACCGAUGGCGAAGGCAGCCCCCUGGGACGCAACUGACGCUGAGGCUCGAAAGCAUGGGUAGCGAACAGGAUUAGAUACCCGAGUAGUC
rnacentral:rRNA from 1 species